rnacentral:rRNA from 1 species
UACGUAGGGUGCGAGCGUUGUCCGGAAUUAUUGGGCGUAAAGGGCUCGUAGGCGGUUUGUCGCGCCGGGAGUGAAAACCAGGUGCUUAACACCUGGCUUGCUUUCGAUACGGGCAGACUAGAGGUAUGCAGGGGAGAACGGAAUUCCUGGUGUAGCGGUGAAAUGCGCAGAUAUCAGGAGGAACACCGGUGGCGAAGGCGGUUCUCUGGGCAUGACCUGACGCUGAGGAGCGAAAGCCAGGGUAGCGAACGGG